rnacentral:rRNA from 1 species
AUUGAACGCUGGCGGCAGGCCUAACACAUGCAAGUCGAACGGUAACAGGAAACAGUUUGCUGUCUCGCUGACGAGUGGCGGGCGUGAGUGACAUGUCUGUGAACCUGCUUGAUGGAGGGGGUUAACUCCUGGAAACGGUAGCUAUUACCGCAUAACGUCUCAAGACCAAAGAGGGGGACUUUCAGGCCUCUUGCCAUCGGCUGAGCCCAGAUGGGAUUAGCUAGUAGGUGGGGUAACGGCUCACCUAGGCCACGAUCCCUAGCUGGUCUGAGAGGAUGAACGGCCACACUGGAACUGAGACACGGUCCAGACUCCUACGGGAGGCAGCAGUAGGAAAUAUUGCGCAAUGGGCGCAAGCCUGAUGCAGCAAUGCCGCGUGAAUGAUGAAGGCCUUCGGAUUGUAAAGUACUGUUAGCAGGGAGGAAGGAAGGAGUGAUAAUCUAUGCACUCAUUGACGGUACCUGAAGAGAAAGCCCCGGCUAACUCCGUG